UACAGAGGGUGCAAGCGUUGUUCGGAAUUAUUGGGCGUAAAGCGCGCGUAGGCUGUUUAGUAAGUCGAAUGUGAAAGCCCUGGGCUCAACCGAAGAACGUCGGCCGAUACUGCCGUUCUUGAGGGAUGAAGAGGUGAUUGGAAUUCCCGGUGUAGCGGUGAAAUGUGUAGAGAUCGGGAGGAACACCGGUGGCGAAGGCGGGUCUCUGGGCAGCUCCUGACGCUGAGGCGCGAAAGCGUGGGGAGCAAACGGG
rnacentral:rRNA from 1 species